rnacentral:rRNA from 1 species
CGCAAUGGGCGAAAGCCUGACGAUGCGACGCCGUGUGUGUGAUGAAGGCCUUCGGGUUGUAAAACACUUUCGCCUGUGAACAAGAAAGGUUA